rnacentral:rRNA from 1 species
CGUAGGGUGCGAGCGUUAAUCGGAAUUACUGGGCGUAAAGCGUGCGCAGGCGGUUCGACAAGUCUGAUGUGAAAUCCCCGGGCUCAACCUGGGAACUGCGUUGGAAACUGUCGGGCUAGAGUGUAGAAGAGGGGGGUAGAAUUCCACGUGUAGCAGUGAAAUGCGUAGAGAUGUGGAGGAAUACCGAUGGCGAAGGCAGCCCCCUGGGCUAACACUGACGCUCAUGCACGAAAGCGUGGGGAGCAAACAGGAUUAGAUACCCUGGUAGUCCACGCCCUAAACGAUGUCUACUAGUUGUUGGUGGAGUAAAAUCCAUUAGUAACGCAGCUAACGCGUGAAGUAGACCGCCUGGGGAGUACGGUCGCAAGAUUA